rnacentral:tRNA from 1 species
GUUAAUUUGGCAGAAAAUUGCCACGCAUUUAGGAUGCGUUCAUGUAAGUUUAAAUCUUACAAUUAACA